rnacentral:rRNA from 1 species
ACCAGACUCCUACGGGAGGCAGCAGUGGGGAAUAUUGCACAAUGGGGGAAACCCUGAUGCAGCAACGCCGCGUGAGUGAAGAAGUAUUUCGGUAUGUAAAGCUCUCUCAGCAGGGAAGAAGAAGGACGGUACCUGACUAAGAAGCCCCGGCUAACUACGUGCCAGCAGCCGCGGUAAUACGUAGGGGGCGAGCGUUAUCCGGAUUUACUGGGUGUAAAGGGAGCGUAGACGGUUAAUCAAGUCUGAAGUGAAAGCCCGCGGCUCAACUGCGGAACGGCUUUGGAAACUGAGUAACUGGAGUGCUGGAGGGGCAGGCGGAAUUCCUGGUGUAGCGGUGAAAUGCGUAGAUAUCAGGAGGAACACCGGUGGCGAAGGCGGCCUGCUGGACAGUAACUGACGUUGAGGCUCGAAAGCGUGGGGAGCAAACAGGAUUAGAUACCCUAGUA